GAGUAUAAGUAGCGGACGAAGCAAAUCUUCAAACAUUGUCUGUAAAGCAACGAUUACUAACAAUAUGAAUUCUAAAUUGUUCAUUUUUGCCAUAUUGGCAGCUGUUUUGUUGGUAUCCGUAUCCGCAGCACCAGCAAUGAAAAAAGGUGACAUCGUAGUAGUUGUGGGUCGCAAACGCCGCGACGUUAGUUGCUUCGAAGUUUCUGAUGGAUCUGUCGAACCAAAUGGUCCUGGUUGUGACCAAAUUGAAGUUCAUCGAAAGCUAACAUAAUGCGGAAGUUGUGUGUUAACCAACAUUGCAAAGUUAGACA